AAAAAAAGUGUGAUGAAAUAUUGUUUUUUGUUCCCACAGCAUGUACAAUUUUGUGCGUUUAAAGGUGCUGCGAACAACAUAUCAAAAGAUGCCAGAAUUGUUUUGGGACCCCAACCCUCUUCCCUCUCCCCCACCCGCCCCGCCGCGCCUUCAUUCGUGGAAACGUAAAUAAUAAACAGUGGAAGUCGGUGUCGCCUGCUGCUCAAUACCGAAAUUAUACCGACGCGAAUUUAUCAAAGGUUUUCAUCAGAGAUUUUGGGUAGACAGCGCUGCUUUUUGACAUUAUAAUCGAACACGGCCCGGAAAUGCUCUUGACAUGAGCAAAGAAGUCUCGGAGUCAUUUUACUUGAAAGAAUAGGUGAGUUGGCAUGACAAGUAACCAAAGCUGGUCCAAUUUGUCUCUAUUCAGACUCUAUGAGAAGGCGUGCAUCAAAGUUCUGUUUUUAAAUGUUUUUGUGGUGCCGUGGGUCUUCCCUGGUGAUUUCAAUGCUCCUCUGUCAAAAUCCAGGCUGAAAUUGGCCUGGAUUGGUCGGGCAGACUCCCCUUUCACUUGCUCUGUGUAAAUAUCAUGGAGCAACACACUACAUCAGAAAAUGAAAAAUAAUAAAAUUGCUGUAAAUGGUAGGGAUUGAUCCGACUCCGACAGCACCUUUUUUCAAUCUCUCAGUCGAAAUUUCAUACCACUGGGCCAUUUCAAGUGAGUUUUGUUUUUCGUGGGUGGGUUCGCCAUCGCCAGCGGGGUAGGCAGCCCAUUCUACGCUGCGCGCCACAUUCUAAUGACAACGCCUUAAAAAAUUCAAGUUUCUGUGGACAGGGGUGGUUUCUGACGGAACCAAAGGUAGUUUUGUGGUCUCUGGUUCACCCCUGUCGAUUCAACUACUUUUCCGUCAAAAUCCAGACACAUCAAUUUUCGCAUUUCGCCAUUUUAAGAGAGUUACGCGUGUUUUUCUCGGACCAGCUCGCGCGUCAGAUUCAAAAGACCACCCCUUAAAACUC